rnacentral:rRNA from 1 species
GAUGAACGCUGGCGGCGUGCCUAAUACAUGCAAGUCGAGCGAACGGACGAGAAGCUUGCUUCUCUGAUGUUAGCGGCGGACGGGUGAGUAACACGUGGAUAACCUACCUAUAAGACUGGGAUAACUUCGGGAAACCGGAGCUAAUACCGGAUAAUAUUUUGAACCGCAUGGUUCAAAAGAGAAAGACGGUCUUGCAGUCACUUAUAGAUGGAUCCGCGCUGCAUUAGCUAGUUGGUAAGGUAACGGCUUACCAAGGCAACGAUGCAUAGCCGACCUGAGAGGGUGAUCGGCCACACUGGAACUGAGACACGGUCCAGACUCCUACGGGAGGCAGCAGUAGGGAAUCUUCCGCAAUGGGCGAAAGCCUGACGGAGCAACGCCGCGUGAGUGAUGAAGGUCUUCGGAUCGUAAAACUCUGUUAUUAGGGAAGAACAUAUGUGUAAGUAACUGUGCACAUCUUGACGGUACCUAAUCAGAAAGCCACGGCUAACUACGUG